rnacentral:lncRNA from 1 species
UCUGUAGGCAGAGACUAGAAAAGAGUUACAUUACCUGGGUGAUCUGUGCAGAGAUAUGUCACAAUGUACCCUGUAGGCAGAGCACAGAGAAGAGUUGCAUCACCUGGGUGAUCAGUGCAGAGAUAUGUCACAAUGUCCCCUGUAGGCAAAGCCUAGGCAAGAGUUACAUCACCUGGGUGAUCAGUGCAGAUAUAUGUCACAAUGCCCCCAUAGGCAGAUCCAAGACAAGAGUCCGUCUCCUGGGUGAUCAGUGCAGAAAUACGUCACAAUGCCCCCUUAGGCAGAGCCUAGACAAAAGCCCCAUCACCUGGAUGAUUAGUGCAGAGUUAUGUCACAAAGUCCCUUUAGGCAGAUCCUAGACAAGAGUCCCAUUACUUGGGUGAUCAGUGCAGAGAUAUGUCACAAUGCCACUGUAGGCAGAGCCUAGACAAGAGUUACAUGACCUAGGUGAUCAGUGCAGAGAUACAUCGCAAUGCCCCUGUAGGCAGAGCCUUGACAAGUGGUACAUCACCUGGGUGAUCAUUGCAGGGAUAUGUCACAAAGCACCCUGUAGGCAGAUCCUAGAGAAGAGUUAUAUCACCUGGGUGAUCAGUGCAGAGAUAUGUCACAAGCCCCCUGUAGGCAGAGCCUAGACAAGAGUUAUAUCACCUGGGUGAUCAGUGCAGUCAUAUGUCACAAUGCUGUGUAGCCAGAGCCUAGACAAAAGUUACAGCACCUGGGAGAUCAGUGCAGAGAUAUGUCACAAUGUCCCCAGUAGGCAGAGACCAGGCAAGAGUUGGAUCACCUCGGGAUCAGUGCAGAGAUAUGUCUCAAUCCCCCUGUGGGCACAGCCUAGACAAGAGUUACAUCACCUCGGUUAACAGUGCAGAGAUAUGUCAAAAUGCCCCUGUAGGCAGAGCCUACACAAGUAUUACAUCACUUAGGUGAUCAGUGCAGAGAUAUGUCACAAUACCCCCUGUAAGCAGAGCCUAGACAAGAGUUACAUCACCUGGGUGAUCAGUGCAGACAUAUGUGACAAGGCCCCUUUAAGCAGAGCCUAGACAAUAGUUACAUCACCUGAGUGAUCAGUGCAGAGAUCUGUCACAAUGCCCCUUUAGGCAGAGCUUAGACCAGAGUUACAUCACCUGGGUGAUCAGUGCAGAGGUAUGUCACAUUGCCCCCAUAGGCAAAUCCAAGACAAGAGUCAGUCACCUGGGUGAUCACUGCAGAAAUAUGUGACAAUGCCCCCAGUAGGCAGAACCUAGAGAAGAGUCCCUUCACCUGGGUGAUCAGUGCAGAGUUAUGCCACAAUGCCCCCUGUAGGCAGAGCCUAGACAAGAGUUACAUCAUCUGGUUGAUCAGUAAAGAGAUAUUUCUCAAUGCCCCUGCAGGCAGAGCGUAAGCAAGAGUUACAUCACCUAGAUGAUCAGUGCAGAGAUACGUCACAAGGCCCCCUAUAGGCAGAGCCUGGACAAGAGUUACAUCACCUCGGUGAUCAAUGCAGUGAUAUGUCACUGUGCCCCGUAGGCAGAGCCUAGUCAAGCGUUACAUCACCUGGGUGAUCAGUGCAGAGAUAUGUCAGAAAGCCCCCAUACACAGAGCCUAGACAAGAGUCCCAUCACCUGGGUGAUCAGUGCAGAAAUAUGUCACAAUGCCCCUAUAGGCAGAUCCAACACAAGUGUUACAUCACCUGGGUGAUCAGUGCAGAAAUAUGUCUCAAUGCCCCCAUAGGCAGAUCCAACACAAGAGUUACAUCACCUGGGUGAUCAGUGUAGAGAUAUGUCACAAUGCCCCCGUAGACAGAGCCUAGACAAAAGUCCCAUCACCUGGGUGAUCAGUGCAGAGAUAUGUCACAAAGCCCCUGUAGGCAGAGCCUAGACAAGAGUUACAUCACUUUGUUGAUCAGUUCAGAGAUGUGUCACAAUGCCCAUGUAGGCAGAGCCUAGACAAGUGUUCCAUCACCUGGGUGAUCAGUGCAGAGAUAUGUGACAAGGCCCCUUUAAGCAGAGCCUAGACAAUAGUUACAUCACCUGAGUGAUCAAUGCAGUGAUAUGUCACUAUGCCCCAGUAGGCAGAGCCUAGUCAAGCGUUACAUCACCUGAGUGAUCAGUGCAGAGAUAUGUCACAAAGCCCCCAUACACAGAGCCUAGACAACAGUCCCAUCCCCUGGGUGAUCAGUGCAGAAAUAUGUCACAAUGCCCCCAUAGGCAGAUCCAACACAAGAGUUACAUCACCUGGGUGAUCAGUGUAGAGAUAUGUCACAAUGCCCCCAUAGGCAGAGCGUAGACAAAAGUCCCAUCACCAGGGUGAUCAGUGCAGAGAUAUGUCACAAAGCCCCCAUAGGCAGAGCCUAGACAAGAGUUACAUCACUUGGUUGAUCAGUUCAGAGAUGUGUCACAAUGCCCAUGUAGGCAGAGCCUACACAAGUGUUACAUCACUUAGGUGAUCAGUGCAGAGCUAUGUCACAAUACCCCCGUAAGCAGAGCCUAGACAAGAGUUACAUCACCUGGUUGAUCAGUGCAGAGAUAUCUCACAAUGUCCCUGCAGGCAGAGUGUAGACAAGAGUUACAUCACCUAGAUGAUCAGUGCAGAGAUAUUUCACAAUGCCCCCUGUAGGCAGAGCCUAGACAAGAAUUAUAUUACCUGGAUGAUCAGUACGGUGAUAUGUCACUAUGCCCCCUGUGGGCGGAGCCUAGACAAGAGUUACAUCACCUGGGUGAUAAGGGCAGAGAUAUGUCACAAUGCUCCAGUAGGCAGAGCCUAGACAAGAGUCCUAUCACCUGGGUGAUCAGUGCAGAAAUAUGUCACAAUGCCCCCAGUAGACAGAGCCUAGACAAGAGUUACAUCACCUGGGUGAUCAGUGCAGAAAUAUGUUGCAAUGCCCCCAUAGGCAGAUCCAACACAAGAGUUACAUCACCUGGGUGAUCAGUGCAGAGAUAUGUAACAAUGCCCCCAGUAGGCAGAGCCUAGAGGAGAGUUACAUCAUCUGGGUGAUCUUUGCAGAGAUAUGUCACAAUCCUCCAAGUAAGCAGAGCCUAGACAAAAGUUACAUCAUCUGGGCGAUCAGUGCAGAGACAAGUCACAAAACCCACAUAGGAAAAGACUAGACAAGAGUUACAUCAUCUGGGUCAUCAGUGCAGACAUAUGUCAAAGCUGCCGUAGGCAGAGUGUAGACAAGUAUUACAUCACUUGGGUGAUCAGUGCAGAGAUCUAUCACAGUGCCCCCAUAGGCAGAGCCUAGACAAGAGUUCCAUCACCUGUGUGAUCAGUGUAGAGAUAUGUCACAAUGCCUCCUGUAGGCAGAGGCUAGACAAGAGUUACAUCACCUGGAUUUUGUUUCCUGCAAUAUGUCACAAUGGCGAGGGUGAGGGUUAGGGUUAGGGUGAGGGUCAGGGUGAGGGUCAGGGUGAGGGUCAGGGUGAGGGUGAGGGUCAGGGUGAGGGUGAGGGUUAGGGUUAGGGUGAGCAUUAGGUUUAGGGUUAGGGUUAGGGUUAGGGGUUAGGCUUAGGCUUAGGGUAAGGCUUAGGGUUCAGGUUCAAGUUUGGAUUCGGGUUCGGGUUCAGGUUAAGAGUUAGGGUUAGGGUUACGGGUUAGGGUUAGGGGUUAGGGUUAGGUGUUAGGGCUGGGUUAGGUUUAGGGUUAGGGUUAUGGGUUACGGUUAGGGUUAGGGUUUAGGGUUAGGGUUAGGGUUAGGAUUGGGGUUAGGUUUAGGGUUAGGGUUAGGGUUAGGUUUAGGGUUGGGUUAGGGUUAGGAUUGGG